UAGGGAAUCUUCGGCAAUGGACGAAAGUCUGACCGAGCAACGCCGCGUGAGUGAAGAAGGUUUUCGGAUCGUAAAACUCUGUUGUUAGAGAAGAACAAGGACGUUAGUAACUGAACGUCCCCUGACGGUAUCUAACCAGAAAGCCACGGCUAACUACGUGCCAGCAGCCGCGGUAAUACGUAGGUGGCAAGCGUUGUCCGGAUUUAUUGGGCGUAAAGCGAGCGCAGGCGGUUUCUUAAGUCUGAUGUGAAAGCCCCCGGCUCAACCGGGGAGGGUCAUUGGAAACUGGGCGGCUUGAGGGCAGAAGAGGAGAGUGGAAUUCCAUGUGGAGCGGUGAAAUGCGUAGAUAUAUGGAGGAACACCAGUGGCGAAGGCGGCUCUCUGGUCAGUAACUGACGCUGAGGCUCGAAAGCGUGGGGAGCAAGCAGG
rnacentral:rRNA from 1 species